rnacentral:tRNA from 7 species
GUUCAACUCCUUCCCCUACUA